rnacentral:rRNA from 1 species
CGGUGUUCAACUGGCGUGUCCGCGGGACGUCCUGCCGGUGGGCUUAGCCCGCAAGGGCGGCCCAACUUCAAAUCCCAUCGCGGUGCUCUUCACUGAGUGUCGAGGUGGGCCGGCACGUUUACUUUGAACAAAUUAGAGUGCUUAAAGCAGGCUAAAACUUCGCCUGAAUACUGUGUGCAUGGAAUAAUGGAAUAGGACCUCGGUUCUAUUUUGUUGGUUUUCGGAACCCCGAGGUAAUGAUUAAUAGGAACGGAUGGGGGCAUUCGUAUUGCGACGUUAGAGGUGAAAUUCUUGGAUCGUCGCAAGACGGACAGAAGCGAAAGCAUUUGCCAAAAACGCUUUCAUUGAUCAAGAACGAAAGUUAGAGGUUCGAAGGCGAUCAGAUACCGCCCUAGUUCUAACCAUAAACGAUGCCAGCUAGCGAUCCGUCGACGUUCCUCCGAUGACUCGACGGGCAGCUUCCGGGAAACCAAAGCUUUUGGGUUCCGGGGGAAGUAUGGUUGCAAAGCUGAAACUUAAAGGAAUUGACGGAAGGGCACCACCAGGAGUGGAGCCUGCGGCUUAAUUUGACUCAACACGGGAAACCUCACCAGGCCCGGACACCGGAAGGAUUGACAGAUUGAGAGCUCUUUCUUGAUUCGGUGGGUGGUGGUGCAUGGCCGUUCUUAGUUGGUGGAGCGAUUUGUCUGGUUAAUUCCGAUAACGAACGAGACUCUAGCCUGCUAACUAGGCGUAUUUUCGACAUCUCAAAGGUCCGUCGUCCCGGCCCUCGGGUCGUGGGCGUGCGCGAUUUUUACUGUCGGCGUACUGUCAAUUCUUCUUAGAGGGACAGGUGGCUUCUAGCCGCACGAGAUUGAGCAAUAACAGGUCUGUGAUG